CGAAGAGCCGCGAUUUGGCCCAAGUGCUAAAUUUUUUUGCUGCUGUUCUGGUGUGAUGCUUUUUCCCUCUGCAGAACUAACCCGUACAUAUUGUUCCACUUUGACAAAACACACCCUCCCCGAUUCCGUCUAACUAAAUGUACUUGCUUCAAAACAAACAUGUAAAUCAUUUGUAUAUGCCUUAAUAUAGGAAUAAUUGAGUUAUUGUGGAGCAGGGAUACUAUUUUUCCUUUCUGUCUGUAUGGCGUAUUGAAACCACACUUUGGGAAAACUAAACCUGCGGUGUUCAGACACAAGCUCAACAGGCAGCGUUUAUAAUCCAACCACGUUCUUCUGAAAUCUCGCGAGAAGUUGACGCUACUGACGCGACCCGAUUCCGCGUUUGCCAGCUAUGUAAAUAUUAGUUGAAUGACUUUUAAUAGGGCGGAACGGUGGGCCGGGUGUGGUUACGAAUCCCCCCCCCCCGCUCUGCGUACGUUUUCCCCAUGUCGUAUGGGUUUCCUCUCAUAGUCCAAAUAAAUGUAGUGUUGCUGACUGGUGUCUAAUUUGCACGUGGUGUAUGAAUGAAUGUGCCCUGAGAUUGACUGACAUCCCCUCACGGUAACAUUGGUAAAGACACGUUUUACGGUGUGCAGAAACUACAAAUCCAGACCAGGAUUUUGUUUCUACCAACAAAGUGACAGGAUGAGGAAGCCACCUGACCAGCU